GAGUUUGAUCGUGGCUCAGAUUGAACGCUGGCGGCAGGCCUAACACAUGCAAGUCGAGCGGUAGAGAGAAGCUUGCUUCUCUUGAGAGCGGCGGACGGGUGAGUAAUGCCUAGGAAUCUGCCUGGUAGUGGGGGAUAACGCUCGGAAACGGACGCUAAUACCGCAUACGUCCUACGGGAGAAAGCAGGGGACCUUCGGGCCUUGCGCUAUCAGAUGAGCCUAGGUCGGAUUAGCUAGUUGGUGAGGUAAUGGCUCACCAAGGCGACGAUCCGUAACUGGUCUGAGAGGAUGAUCAGUCACACUGGAACUGAGACACGGUCCAGACUCCUACGGGAGGCAGCAGUGGGGAAUAUUGGACAAUGGGCGAAAGCCUGAUCCAGCCAUGCCGCGUGUGUGAAGAAGGUCUUCGGAUUGUAAAGCACUUUAAGUUGGGAGGAAGGGCAGUAAAUUAAUAACUUUGCUGUUUUGACGUUUACCGACAGAAUAAGCACCGGCUAACUCUGUGCCAGCAG
rnacentral:rRNA from 1 species